GAGCUCUGAGGGAGUCCUGCCCCUUGCUGGGUUUCUCUAAGGCCUGGACUCAACCCUCUAAACCCUGGGGUCAGUAGGGCUGGAAUCUUGGGGGCAGAAUUCCAGGCGCAUGUGUGGUGUGCCGUGACUAGACUCACCUUAAGAGAAAAUGGGGUGGGUGUGAACCUGGGUGUGUGGCCUCUUUGGAGCUUGGGAUUUAGGUGUGUAUGUUACAUUGUGAGUGUGAUAAGACACUGUAUGUACACCUGUGAACACAGGCACACAGGCUUGGACUUCCCUGGGUAGGGGAAGCAUUGUGGGAAUGUGUACAUGUGUGUGUGUGCUCUAGGCAGGAAGAGGAAUUUUACCCUGAGGUUGUGUGCAUGUGUGUGUAAGUACAUUCGGGUAUGUGGAGGAGGCUGUGUGACCUUGUAUUUACAUGCUGUUGUGGAGGCUGUAUUCUGUGUAUGCAGGUGGGAGCUGAAGUAAGGAGGGCAGGCAGGAACCAGGCACGGAGCCCACCACAGCCGGGAGCCGAGGCCAGGCUGCCACCAGGGCACUGCCUCAGCUUUCCUCCGAGCAAGCGGUAAGCCAGAGCCUCGGUUACAUGUAAACACCAGCUGUGUCAAGACAGCGCAGCUUCUUCUAGGUCAACAGACAGCUGUGGGGUUGCUAGGCAACCGCCUGGCUCCCCCCCUCUAUUAAGCCCCCACCUCCCACUGCCUCUACCUGCAAACCCUCUGCCGGCUCCCCCCACCCCGGGAUACGGCCACGCCCCCUCCAUGCCAAUUAAAACAGCAGGGUUGAGAGGGUAGGGGGUCAAGGCUGCGUGAAAGGGGGGCUCUGGGACUGGGAUUAAGGUGUAGGGAGGUGUAACCCUUCUGGUGCCGCCGUCCUCUGGCCCCCAGUCCUCAGCACACUCCUCCACGCUCCCUCCCUCCUCACCCGUCAGACAGGGGCAGGACUGGAGGGAAGGUAACUGAUGCCCCCUGCCAGAACUGGAGAGAUGCUGGAAGCAGAUGGAAAGUGAGGGGUGCAGACCAUAUUAGCGAUUGGCCAAGUCCCCUCCCCCUCCCCGUCAAGCCUGGGGAAGACUGGCUGGAGGACCCUCCGGCAACGAAAGGGUUAAAU
rnacentral:lncRNA from 1 species